CCUAACUCUAAACGCUACCGUUGCCGCGAAUCUUUUUCGUUCCACCACUAUCGACAAACAGUGUGUACACACUACCGCAAAACAGCAAAAAAGCAGCAUGGGGUCCUUUCCUCCUUCAGUUUGAUUUUCGACUGCACCCCCCGCUGAUCCAAUAAAUGUGGUUGCAACCGAGGGGUUGUCUUCUAUAAGGAAUAAACAUGAAAAAUAGCAAUCGCAAUUUAGAAUUUAUAAUUUUGUCAGCCAAAAUGCGAAACCCAGCAGCAGUCUGUUAGCUGUUUCUGUGGCUAAGGGUUCUAGAGUUUCAGUUCGUUCCGUUCCACUCGGUUGGGCACCCUCUACUUCCCCCCCCAACCGAUUUGUUCCGACAAUUUGUAAUGGGAAAUCAAUAAGCUGUGGCCCCCCAUUAAAUGCAUGUAAGUCACGUAAAUGUAAUAGAUAUGAUAGAUAUUUGGAGCGCAUUUCCACUUCCUGAAUUAAUCAUUUCAACCGGAGAACACAUCUCCUUUUCUGCAACAUCUCAAAUCGAAUUUUUCCAGGUGGAGGAUCUUCUCAUGACAAGGCAAAAAGAGACGUAUAUAUAUAUUUUUGUUAGUUUUUCUAUUGAAUCAACGAUGUGGUAGUGCCUGCUGUCUGGCUCAAAGUCGAUGUCGAUCAAUAAAUUAACAUGCACAUUUGCAUUUAAUUAAAUUUCAA